GAGACACCCCUGUGGAGCAGGACUUGCUUCAGUGGGGCUUUGGUGCUCACCGAGUCCACUUCUUGAGUGUGUCACU
rnacentral:pre_miRNA from 1 species